rnacentral:lncRNA from 1 species
GAACACAGUGAAUAGAGUGUUGGAGGUCUUGUUCUCUGCUUGAAAGACAGCAAGGAUGCAUGAGAAGGUAAAAGUGGAAAUCUACCAUAGGAGCUGCAAUGCAUAGCCUAACUGAGAUACAGAAGGCUGAGGGGCGAGCUCUGGAAAGAAAGGAAAAUACAGUUGUUUGGAAGUUAGAAGCAGAGACUGAAAACCCAUGCUUGGAGAAGAAAGUGACUGUAAAUAUUAUAUUUUAAUUCAUCUAUAAGUUUCUGCAGGUAAAUGUCUGAACAUGGGUUUAAUUUCCAAAGAAGGUUGUCAGUCAUAUAUAGGAUUUGAGCUUCUUAGAGGGGCUCUGCAAUUAUGAUAUGGAAUCGAAGGUGAGAGAAAUCAACAUUUUCUGGACCCAGAAAUUUAGGGGAGUCCGGUACCCACAAGCUCAUAACAAUAUGUUAGGCAGAGUUCAAAAUGUAUCUCUGCAGUGUGCCUUAGGGCUAAACAAGGCAUAAUAACAAGAAAUCUUUGAUCAAAUACCCCACUUUUUUUUUUGGGUAAUAAACACGGGCUAGAAUAGUGGAAGAUUAGGCUUCUUUCUCAGUAAAUACGUUGUCAAGCUACUGAAAGCUAAACAAAAACUGAUUCUGCAAGGACCUCAGACUUCCUUUUGUCCAAGGAUAGCUGAAAAUCUAGGGCAGCUAAUGUCUCAAACCAGGGCUGAGUGGCAUGUCUGAAAUUUGGACACAGUCUUGAAAAAAAUAGGGUGUGGAAACCUUGCUAUUAUGUUCAGUUCAGUUUAUUGAUUAACCAAAAGAUUUUAACCACUAGUAUGAUACAUAUUACUUUGGUUACAAAAGCAUUUCUCAUAAGUUGCAUGCAUUUAUUCCUUGUUUGUUGAAAUCUCAUGGGAAGAUGAAGCUUUUUGCUGUAUUGGAUGUGACUGUUUGUAUUGCAAAUGUUUAAUAUGUAUUUUAGUCAUCCACUAAUCUAUUAGUAAGGCUUAAUCCAAAAGCACACAAUCAACUAAGUGGACUACAAGAUUUGCAUAAAUACACCCAACAUUAAUCCCUGUCUACUAAUUUCACUAAGGAUUGGAUCAGCUCCUCAGUAUACAUUCAAAAUGGGCCAUUUGCAAGUACUGUAAAAUGUUAUUUGCAUCUAAUUCUUUCCUUUUAAAGCACAAACACAGUUGGUGGGACCACACGGUAAGAAUACAUAACAUUUAAUCUAUGCUUUAAAAAUGCUUUUAUGCUAUCUGUAGAUGGCAUCAGUGUUCCGUACAUGAGGAGAGGGCGAUUAGUUAUGCUGGUAAGAUUUACUUCCUUUAAUAAUCAGUCCUGUGUAUUAAGAAUCUGCUUCCCCAUCUUUGGUAUCAGUUUUCUGAAACAGGACAGCAGGUCAUCAUGAGAAAGGAAAUACUGCUUGUAUAUCUUUUUUCUCUCUUUUGAAAUAAACUGCAACCUAUUCCUUAUCAGUCAUAUCAGCAGUUUUCAUCCAGCACUAUGCAAAGAGAGGGGAGUUUUAACAACCUAUUGAUUAUGUAUAUUUGUUUACUAUGGUAUAUUCUCUAUGCACUUUGAUUUCCUAAAUGCUGGAUAAAGAUUUGCAGCUACAGCUAUGGAAACUGCCUGUGCAGAGCAGAAAGAGGUUUGAGAACGCGUGUGUGUGCAUGCUUUUUUGUCUGGGGUCAUGAGUUUGUAUCUGAAGGUAGGGGUUUAAAAACCCUUAGCUCCACUUGCCAAAUUGGGGUGAACCACCCCUGAAUCGGUACUGUGCAGAACCCAUACCUUCCAACAUCUUGACUCCAAAAACUGGGGUGUGUGUCUUCCCAGUCAUGCUCCUGUGAGAAUCAUGUGACCAGUGUGAUAUCACGGAGCCCAAUAGAUGUGUUUUUCGGGGGGGGGCGUGCUCUUGCACAAGAAAGGUGCAUUUGGGGUUCUGAAAAAGUGCUUUUGGGGGGGUAAAAUCUUGGCACAAAAUUGUGGCACCCAAAAUGGCCACCCUGCUCUUGAGUGAAAAAAACAGGAUGUCUUUUUCCCCCUGCACACUUGUGGGAUUUGAGAUCCAGGGUCCACAAAUCAGGUCCAUGGAGGGUGGGCCUGUGUACAGCCCUAAUUUCUAUACACACUUUACCAGUGGCGUAGCGUGGGGGGUGCAGGGGGGGCCGGCCGCACCGGGUGCAACAUCUGGGGGGGGGUGCGCUCGCACUCGCAGCUCUCUGCCCCUACCUGGCUCACUCACCCUCUCUCACUGCAGUGCUGGCUGUGCGAAUCCGAUCCGAGCCGCUGGGUCGCCGCCCACUGUGGAGGGGGUGGGUGCCAGGCGUGCGGUGCGGAGAGAGAGCGAGGGACUAUCUGGGGAGGGACAGUGCAGCGGCCGCCCAGCGCAGCGCUGAGCGCGGGAGAGAACCACACCAGACCAGACCAGGCAGCAGCAAGAAGAAGCUGGCAGCGGCGGCAGGUUAGGGGUUAGGGGGCGCAAAUUACUUGCCUUGCCCCGGGUGCUGACAACCCACGCUACGCCGCUGCACUUUACAUAGUUUGGAGACUCCAAAUUGGCUAGUUUCAUUUUUAAAUGCAAACUGAUUCCCAAGGAUCCCCCAUCCCCCAAAAGCAGAUUUUCAGUGGGGGUUGGGGGUUGUACAGGGAAGCAAGGAGAUAGCAGAAGCUCCAUUAUGUUUUAACUUGUUAGCAACUUUCACAAAAGAAAAGCUAGGACUCGAGCCUCAGUCUAUCUGCAUGUGAUGUGUUUCUGUGAAACUGUUGCAAAGCAGAAAGAACCAAAAUAUUUGUGUGUCUGUCUGUGUGUGGCAGUGCAGUCCUAAACCAUGUUUGCAUAGGAGUCUCAAUGAGUUCAGAGGGGCUUACUUGCAAGAAACUGUGCCUUGGAGGAUUGCAGCCUAACUGGGCGGAGAAAGCACACUCAACAACUGUCAGACAGACAGACAAACAAACAAACAGAUUUCCAGCUAACCUGAGAAAACAAUGGGACAGGUCAAAGGCCGAGAAAUAUCUUUAAUAAUAGCAUUUAAGGGAAUAGUUCAGUUGCUCAGUUUCGUAUUUCAGCAAAACCUUUCCACCUUGCAAGCUUCUAUUUACAAACCUUGGUUUCUCAGCACAUUAAUUAUUCACAAGCAACCUUUAGGUUGGCAAACAAGAGCCUUAUUUACUUGAAGCAAACUGCUGUUCAAAGAGCCCUCCUUUCCGCUGCUAGGCUCCGGCUUGCUUCAGGUUAAACAUUCCCAGCAUUUAACGCCGCUUAUUGCACUUUGCAAAUCAGGAAUGGCCAGUGGAUAGGAUGUGGCUACAAAACUGUCGGCAAGUAAAGCAAACAGCCGCUCAGACACAAAUCACACAUCUUGAAUUGUACAAUUGCAAUUAUUAUUAUUAUUAUUACUCUUAUUAUACCGCACCCAUCUGACUGGGUUGCCCCAGUCACUCUGGGCAGCUUCCAACAUAUACAAGAACAUAAUAGAACAUUAAGCAUUAAAAACUUCUCUACACAGGGCUUCCUUCAGAUGUCUUCUAAAGGUUGCAUAGUUACUUAUUUCCUUGACAUCUGAUGGGAGGGUGUUCCAUAGAGCGGCUGACACUACUGAGAAGGCCCCCUGCCUGGUUCCUUGUAACCUUGCAGUGAGGGAACCAUCAGAAAGUCCUCAGAGCUGGACCUCAGUGUCCAGGCUGAAUGAUGGGGUGGAGAUACUAAGUAUACUGAGCCGAAGCCACUUAGGGCUUUAAAGGUCAGCACCAGCACUUUGAACUGUGCUUGGAAAUGUACUGGGAGCCAAUGUAGAUCUUUCAGGACCAGUGUUAUAUGGUUUCACGGCCACUAGCAGUCACCAGUUUAGCUGCCACAUGUAGUUUCCAAGUUGCCUUCAAAGGUAGCCCCACAUAGAAUGUAUUGCAGUAGUCCAAGAGGGAGAUAACCCCAGCUUAUAGUACCCUGAUGAGACAAUGAGCAGGCAGGUAGGGUCUUAACCGGAGGGCAUUUUCUGCUCUGCCCCAAGUAGCAAAAUGUCUCAGGCCAGCCCUGGAGAAAGGGGAGGCUGCAACCCAUUCCAGACCCACAGCUGAGACACCACACGUGAACUUAAUGUUGGAUCUACGUGAGUUCUGAAAUCAACAAAAAUAAGACCAGUCAACUUGUACUCCAGUUUAUAUCAGGCACUUUGUGUGAUUCACAGAAGCUGUUUUAAGCAAGCAAGAGACAGAUGUUAGCUGUUACUAGCCCAGUUCUGUGCUGGAAGCAGCUCUGAUAUCUCCCUGAAUUUGGGGUGCCUCUUUUUAAAUAGAACAGGAGGCACUUGGUGGAUGAGACCUGAAAGCCUUGGUCGCUGAGGUCACCAGACACCCUCUGGAUAGGGGCCUUAACCUUUUGCAUUAUGGGUGCUAGGUUCCAGCCUCUGUCCCCCAUGUUCCCGGAUAGCUUGGCAGAGUCAAGAUCUGCCCAUCAGGAGCCCAAAUUAUCUUGCAGGAAAGACAGGCAGGGAGAGCCUGGCAGCUUCGCCAGUGUUGUGAAGUAAUAAUAAAUUAGCAGUGCUUGAAGUGUCACCACAGAGCAACCAAUGAAGUUCUGCCAGCCUUCCCUGCUCUCAAGCAAAAAGGAUGCUCUGGGACUAUUCUAGAUUUGUCAUGUGACUGCCAAACAAUCCACAGCUCCCCUCCUCUCAAACCUGGAGCUGGGGAGGAAUUGGGGAUUGCUGCAUAACACCCGGGCAAUCCCCACCAUCUCUUCAGCUUCAAGGUUGAGAGAAGCAUUGGGGGCUAUGAUAACUGUAGUGAAUAAGGAUCACGGAAACAGGAGUAGAAAUUGCUGAUGUUGACUUAUUUGUCCAAUGCCCAGAAUGGAAAUCCCACCAGCAGAUAUGAUCAGUAUUCACUGUUGUUGUUUUCAGCCUGCAAAUGACAAAACUGAUGACUCUACCGCUCCAUUUGCAUUGCAUUUUGCUUGCAUCGAAAUGAAUGGUUUGGAAUAAUGUAAUGAUCACAUAAUUAAUUGUGCAAUUAUUUAUGUAAAAUUCACCCAAGUGGACAGCGAGAUGAAUUAUGUAAAUUUUGUCUGAGGCCGAAUUGCAGCAGAACGGAAACAGCCCUGUAUGUGACAAAUAUGGGGAUGGAUGGAAAUUUAUACCUUCUUACAUUCUUAGUAGGGACGCGGGUGGCGCUGUGGGUAAAACCUCAGUGCCUAGGACUUGCUGAUCGUAAGGUCGGCAGUUCGAAUCCCCACGGCGGGGUGAGCUCCCGUCGUUCGGUCCCAGCUCCUGCCCACCUAGCAGUUUGAAAGCACCCCUAAGUGCAAGUAGAUAAAUAGGUACCGCUUUAUAGCGGGAAGGUAAACGGCGUUUCCGUGUGCGGCACUGGUGCUGGCUCGCCAGUUGCAGCUUCGUCACGCUGGCCACGUGACCCGGAAGUGUCUUCGGACGGCGCUGGCUCCCGGCCUCUUGAGCGAGAUGAGUGCGCAACCCUAGAGUCGGUCACGACUGGCCCGUACGGGCAGGGGUACCUUUACCUUUUACAUUCUUAGUGGCAAAAGCAAACGUGGAAAUUUGCCAUUGGAACAGGGCCUGUAAUAUUAAAUUCUCCAAUUUUUAAAUAGAUAGUAUAGACUGUGAUUUUAAUAGUGGCUAUUUAUGGUAAAUGAUAUGACUAUAAAAGCUUUUAACUGCAUGCAUGCACCAAUGUUUUGAGCAUUUCUACAUUCAUACUAAUUGUUAUACAGUAAAUUGCUGCAUUAUGUAAUCCUUAUCCUGCAGGCUUUUAGCAAUCAAAUAUAAAGAUACUAAUGAUGAUCUGUGAAAUCUUUUCCUUUGAAAGAAACCUGUUUGUUGGAAUCCAUGCAUAUGUAAGAACAGUCAUCCUACAGCUUUGAACCAUCCAAUCUGAUUCUAAGAAUUGCUUUCCUCUCAGUUUAUGAAAAUUCCCACUUCUCUCAUUUUGCCCAACCACCACUUUGAUGUAUCAAAUCAUUAAACAGCUGCCUCUGC